ACUUAAAAUUGUUUAAUAGGUGGGAGCCUAUAACAGCUUAACACAUAAUUAAGGCUAAAUUUGUGCCAGCAGCCGCGGUUAUACUGGUAUAAUAGGUAGAAGUUUGUUAGGUUAAUGGUUAAAAGAAAAUUAAAUUGCUUUGGGUCUUUGUUGGAGACAAGGUGAAAUUGUGUCUUUUAUAGGUCUUUUUAAAUUUUAUUUGUAUUGAAGCUGUGAAAGGAAAGCGUAAAAUAGGAUUAGAUACCCUAGUAUUUUUUAUUGAAACUGUCAAUACCUGGUUAGUAUUAGUUAUGUUCUUGAAAUUUAAAGAAUUUGGCGGCAUCCUAGCCCGGUUAGAGGAACCUGUCUUUUAAACGAUAAACCACGAAAUAUCUUACUCUUUUUUGUUUUUCAGUAUGUAUACCGUCAUUUCUAUAACAAUUUUUAGAAAAAUUAGUUAAGAGGGGGUUAGCCCAUUAAAUUAGAUCAAGGUGCAGCUUAUAGGGGAGUAAAGAUGGGUUACAAUAAUUUUAAAUUAUUACGGAUCUUAAGUAUAACAGUUUUAUGAAGGAGGAUUUAACAGUAAAUUAGAAUUAACAAGUCUAUUUGAUGAAGGUUCUGGGAUGUGCACACAUCGCCCGUCGCUCUCAUAAUAACGUGAGAUAAGUCGUAACAGAGUAGAUGUACUGGAAGGUGUAUCUAGAAUUAAUUUU
rnacentral:rRNA from 1 species